AUUGGGCCGUUGGCCGCCGGCCCAGCAUGGCGGCCGCCGAUUGGCUGCGGGCCGGCGGGCGGGGCCCGGCGCUGGUUGCCGGGGCGGCGGAUGGCGGCGGCGGCUCCUCGAUGGCGGCGGGGCUGAGCGCGGACCCUGCACCGGCGGCCGGGACGCGGGGACUCCCCCUUCGGUGCGGGGAGGCCCAGUCCUCGGGAAAAAGGGGGAGAGAGAGAGAGGCUGAUACUGAAGCCAACCAGCUGCGCUUUUGAGUGGGAAACUCCGGACUGAUCUCAUGGCUUGCUUUUUAUUUCAUUAAUACUUCAUUAUCUCUGAAAAUGAACCUUUUGUGAAGCUCUUCUAACUCUCCUUAUUCCUCUUUCACGAGGUGGCUGCUGCUGUGCAAGGGAAGGAAUGGCAUGAAGUAAAUGACUCCAGUAUAAAGCAAUCUGCUUUGCCCAAGUGCCCAGUGGGCAGCACUGUCACUUUAAUAAUUCCAGGUCAAGGGAUUGCUUUCCUCGUUUUCAAUCCUCUCUUUUAAUACAUGGGAGGAUCAGAGGGACAUUAAAGACCGUAAGGCUGGGUGGCUUGCAGAUAAUAAAAAUGAAAGUGCCCAGUGACUUCUGUUGGGUAAGAGGGUGAUAUUUGAAGGCAGUUGUCUGGUGAGGAAAAAGGGAUCUUUUCAGUCUGCUGUGUAGUCACCUAAUACAUAGCUAGCAGAAUUAAUUCAAGAAGUGAAAGAGCUUAAAGAGGCACUUUGGAUUGUUUUUGUCUUCCUCCUUAUUUGGAUUACUUGGGCGUUUUUGUCCUGCAAAUAAUAUGUUUUUGAGCAUGUACAGGUGGAGUAUUGAGACAGCUGCCUAGAGAUGGACUGUGCCUUAAUUGUAUUGCAUAAAAUCUUUUAAUUUUCAAACUUUUCUGCCAGAAGAGGAGUUAUAAUAAGGUUUUAUAUUGCCAAGGAACGUUUGCUCUUGUAUUUUUAUAGAGUCAAAUAUAUUUUAAAGAAAUUGAAAGCAUCUCUUAAAGAAAGAAUCAAAAAGCUUCUUUCCCCCCCUUUUUUUCUUCUUAUUUGUGGAGAGCAUCGGAAGUCCAAUCCAAGGGAACAGCAAGUAUUCAUAGAAAUGAAGAUUGAAGCUGCAUUUCCUUACUGAACUGUAGAAGUGUUCUGCAAUAGAUAGUCAGUUCCUGACCUUGCAGAGUGUUCCAGUAGUACUUCGUUAGUACCUGUAAAUAAGUGCUUGCAACCAGAUUCAGAAGUAGGAAGAAGAAUGCCAGUCAAGAAGAAAGAUACUGACCGAGCUUUAGUGCUGCUGGAGGAAUAUUGCAAAAAACUACGGAAGCCAGAAGAGCAACAAUUGAAAAAAGCCAUCAGAAAGGUGAUGGGCAUCUUUAAGAGCAGCUUGUUCCAGGCACUUCUAGUUUUCUGAAAGUGAAGAGAACAAAUUGAAAGUUACAGUCUGAGAAGAUUAAUAGGGACAUCUGACUCUUGAGGGGGCAACAGUCCUCUCAUGUGGCAAUGCAUUAUGAGCAACAAAAAAGGUUCUUCUACUCUGGUAUUUUUCAGAGUUCAACUUCAGCCACCAGCCUGCACCCCUAGGACCAUUAUUAACCACUACAGCUGUAUGGCUUGCAUCAUGGCACUUCUUGACAUCUAGGAAAACUCAAUCGUUCUGCUAUAAGGAAUGUGGACAUGAAGACCAGCUUGUGUAUUUGUGUCCCUGAAUGUCUUCCACUUGAGGAAAAACCUGUGUGCUAUUGGAUAAGGUCCUGAAGCAUAAUUUAAAAGCAUCACCAGAAGGAAAAACCCAUCAUGAAGUGGAAGAAAGUCUUCUUGAACAUUAUUCAUUUGAAUCAUGGAUCUGUAUAGAAGCAGAUAUUGGCAUGAUGCAGCUGAUAUGUGACAGAGUACCAAAUGGAUGUCCUUUGAGAAGUCAGUUGUAACUUCCCUAAGCCAUCGCUAUUCUCCUAGUAGGCCAUAUUUUUAAGGAAAUUGCUCAGUAUGCGUAUCAGCUUUCCUGGUCCUAAAUUCUUUUAAGCUGCAUAUUUCUUUCAGAGUGAAAAUUUGAGACAGUGUAGCCCAUGAAUUGCUGUGAAGGUGUCGAAGCCACAUUCCUCACUUCUAAGGGACUGGUGUGGUAGCUUACAGGAGUCUAAUGUUCCAUGCAAUUUAUGAUUUUCCACUUUAUUGAAGAAAUAAUUCUGUUUGUGGUUUUAUGAACUUGCAGUCUUGAAUACACAGUACUGCAGGUCACAAUUUUAUCUAUAGGCUGUUCCAUCUUAAAUGAAGAAAUACUAUAUGUUGUUAAAAUCUUGAUCUACAAGAGUUUGCAAAAAAAAAAAAAAAGAUGUUUGACUUAAAAUACAAUUUUUAAAAGUUGAACAUUUCUUAUUAAAAUUUCUU